GACAGAGGGUGCAAACGUUGUUCGGAAUUACUGGGCAUAAAGAGCACGUAGGUGGUGCGCUAAGUUACGUGUGAAAUCCCCCGGCUCAACCGUGGAAUUGCGCUUCAAACCGGCAAGCUUGAGGAGGAUAGAGGUGGGCGGAACUGAUGGUGGAGCGGUGAAAUGCGUUGAUAUCAUCAGGAACACCGGAGGCGAAAGCGGUCCACUGGGUCCUUUCUGACGCUGAGGGACGAAAGCUAGGGGAGCGAACGGG
rnacentral:rRNA from 1 species